GGAGGAAAGUCCGGGCUCCAUAGAGCAGAACGCCAGGUAACGCCUGGGGGGUGAAAGCCCACGGAAAGUGCAACAGAGAGUAGACCGCCAGUUCAUGCGCUUAGGCGCUGAAAAGGUAAGGGUGAAAGGGUGCGGUAAGAGCGCACCGCGCGACUGGUAACAGUUCGUGGCACGGCAAACCCCGUUCGGAGCAAGACCAAAUAGGGAUCCAUCGGUGUGGCUCGCACUGGAUCCGGGUAGGUCGCUAGAGGUCAGUAGUGAUGCUGAUCCCAGAUGAAUGACUGUCCACGACAGAACCCGGCUUAUCGGCUGACUCAACUC
rnacentral:RNase_P_RNA from 1 species